GACAGAGGGUGCAAACGUUGUUCGGAAUUACUGGGCGUAAAGCGCGUGUAGGCGGCUAUGCAAGUCGGGUGUGAAAGCCCGGAGCUCAACUCCGGAAGUGCAUUCGAUACUGCGUAGCUAGAGUACUGGAGAGGAUGGUGGAACUCUCGGUGUAGAGGUGAAAUUCGUAGAUAUCGAGAAGAACACCGGUGGCGAAGGCGGCCAUCUGGACAGAUACUGACGCUGAGACGCGAAAGCGUGGGGAGCAAACAGG
rnacentral:rRNA from 1 species